CGCAGCCCCGGCCCGCGCCCGCUGCCGCCGCCGCUCCGCCGAGGGCAGGGGGCGGCCGGGAGUCCCGGCGGCGCGGGGUGGCGCGGCCCGGCUGCGGAGCGUCGCCGGGGUGAGAGGCUGGGGGCAGCAGGUUAGAAGACUGUUAGCGGGGCUCCCCUCCCUCCCACAAAAGCUCACCAACAGACUGCCCAGGGAAGGUUCCUCGACUGUCCGUCCUGCGCUCCAGAUAACACCGGGCAGUAAGGUGGACUAUCUUAUAUGUUCCAAAACAACCUUGUCUCCUUCGAUGCUCACGCUGCCACCAGCUCCCCUACAGACUGCUGCUUCUAACUUUUGCACAGUAGGACCUUUGGUAUUUCGCUCGGUGGAUCACCAGGGCUUCACCGUAGCUCCAAGCAAUCCUAUUCACAAGUAGCUUGCAAAUAGCUUGGACUGCAAAAAGCUCUUUUAGACGUGAAGCUGCACGCUCCCCUAAGAGCUACUGUUUUGAAGUGUAUAGACUUCAACGCAAGGCACCUCACUGCAGGAGGAGAGAAAUACUCUGUUCACCAGAUGCAAAAAACGCUUCUUGUAAGUGGUCAGCACUAUAAAAGGAAAUCAAGGAGAAGCGGAAGAAAUCUCUGGGCUUUUCCUCUGAAGACAGUUGCAUGUACACUCACAGGGAGCAUUGCGGCUGAGCACCCGACCUGAAUGUAUUUUGAAAUGUAACAUGAUACCUUCCUUGCUCCUGCUCUUUCUUCCUCCAUGGCUCUUCUUUUCUGUAUUUAAAGGAAUGUUUUUGGUAUCAGCCAUCCCUGUGCUUCCAGCCCUGCUCUAACCUCACUCUGUCCUCACCACUCACUCUCCCUGUCCAACUCCUCAAAUAACCUCUCUGGUUUCCUUAUCUGUGUCACCUCAGCCUCUCAGAGGCAUGUGCCGCUCUGCUGCCCACCCUCCUCAUGCCGCCAGCCUCCGGGCCUCUCCCCAGGACCACACUUCGCUCGGCUGUCUCCCCUUGACGCGGUGCUGAGCGUUGCUCUUCAACCUGUCAGCACCUCUUGUCCCAUCCCAUCCCAGCCUGGCCCUCUGGGAGCUUGCUCCAUGCGCUGCUGCUUCUCAGCCCCUAGUUCACCCCUCUCCUCCCACCGCCUGGCUGGCUUGCUGUGAGGCGUCGUUCAACCCUGCUCAUGCUUACAAAAGAAAAUUUCUGCGCGUGUAGAUCGUAGCAUGGUAGGGCAGCCCAGCUUGGAAGGGACCUCCAAAGAUCAUCUCGUCCAAACUUUCAUGGGAAGAGAAGCCUACAUGGGAUUAUCUGGCACCUUGCGCAAUCGUGUCUUGAAAACCUCCAGUGAUGGGGACUCCACCAUAUCACUGGGGACGUUGUUCCAGUGGAUGAUUGUUCUCAUUGCAAACAAUUCAUUUCUUACAUCAAAAUGAAACAUUUGUUGCUGCAACUUGUAGCUUUUACCCCUUGUCUGUUCCCUGUGGCUCCUUGUAAAAAGAAAGUCUCCGUCCUCUCUGUAGCUGUACCUGUAAGAUUUGACCAGUUUUUGUACAACAGAUGUUGGGGUUCUUGCUGCUUUUGCAGAACCUGCUGCCACGGGCAGGGCCAAGGGGCUUCAAUACACGCCUCUUCUACACACUGUUUAAUGGUAUUUGCCCUGGCACAUUCUUUAGCUGCGCAAUGAGAUGAUUAUACUUUGUCAUCCAUAGUAUUUCCACCCUAGAAUAUCAAUUUACAGCCCGGUGUUACAGGGUGUCCUCAAAAAGUGAGAAGUAAAAGGAGGGAAGUUAUAUAGCUGGGCUGGGGCUGCAGAGCCAGCCAGCCACUGUCAGGAUUGCAUUGCAGGGAUUCCCACCUUCCAAAACAUCCCCCUUCUGCCCCCAAAGUCCUACUGCCCCAUCCUCAAAGGCACUUCACACAUUUAACCUUAAAACCAGAGACCACCCUCACAAGCGCAAUGUGCCACAAUCCAACACUGAGGGGAAACUGGAGGGAUAAAGCCCAGGUAUUUUUGAACCAUCACGCAGACAACUACCUGGCUGUCUUCCAGAGUGCUCUUUCUUUAAGUGUGCUCACUGUUUCUCUAUAUAAGACUGCUGAUCCAUCAGUUAAUCAUAUUGAGUAAGUACCUAAAAUUAACUUUUAAAUUAUUAAUGCAUGAGAACAUAUCCGUUUGCCAUGUACAUUAGUUUAAAGGAUUACAGUGUGUAUACUGAGUGCCAUUAACGUUACAUUUCGAAGACAGUAAAUUGAAUUGUAUGGAAAUCAGAAGAGUUGAUGGAUUCCUCUACAAAUGCCUUUGACAAUGAUAAAAUGUUCAAUUGUAUUAUUAUUAAGCAUGUGUCUGUUCUUAAAUUUCUUUCUAAUACAUACAAAAGUAAGACACUG